ACGGGUGAGUAACGCGUGGGAACGUACCCUUUACUACGGAAUAACGCAUGGAAACGUGUGCUAAUACCGUAUGUGCCCUAUUGGGGAAAGAUUUAUCGGUAAAGGAUCGGCCCGCGUUGGAUUACCUAGUUGGUGGGGUAAAGGCCUACCAAGGCGACGAUCCAUAGCUGGUCUGAGAGGAUGAUCAGCCACAUUGGGACUGAGACACGGCCCAAACUCCUACGGGAGGCAGCAGUGGGGAAUAUUGGACAAUGGGCGCAAGCCUGAUCCAGCCAUGCCGCGUGAGUGAUGAAGGCCUUAGGGUUGUAAAGCUCUUUCACCGGAGAAGAUAAUGACGGUAUCCGGAGAAGAAGCCCCGGCUAACUUCGUGCCAGCAGCCGCGGUAAUACGAAGGGGGCUAGCGUUGUUCGGAUUUACUGGGCGUAAAGCGCACGUAGGCGGAUCGAUCAUCCCGGGGUGAAAUCCCAGAGCUCAACUCUGGAACUGCCUUUGAUACUGUCGAUCUGGAGUAUGGAAGAGGUGAGUGGAAUUCCGAGUGUAGAGGUGAAAUUCGUAGA
rnacentral:rRNA from 1 species